rnacentral:rRNA from 1 species
GUGACCUCAAAUCAGGUAGGACUACCCGCUGAACUUAAGCAUAUCAAUAAGCGGAGGAAAAGAAACUAACAAGGAUUCCCCUAGUAACUGCGAGUGAAGCGGGACAAGCUCAAAUUUAAAAUCUGUCAGCCUUUGGCUGUCCGAGUUGUAAUCUAGAGAAGUGUAAUCCGCGCUGGACCGUGUGCAAGUCUCCUGGAAUGGAGCGUCAUAGAGGGUGAGAAUCCCGUCUUUGACACGGACUGCCAGGGCUUUGUGAUGCGCUCUCAAAGAGUCGAGUUGUUUGGGAAUGCAGCUCAAAAUGGGUGGUAAAUUCCAUCUAAAGCUAAAUAUUGGCGAGAGACCGAUAGCGAACAAGUACCGUGAGGGAAAGAUGAAAAGAACUUUGGAAAGAGAGUUAAACAGUACGUGAAAUUGCUGAAAGGGAAACGCUUGAAGUCAGUCGCGUUAUCCAGGGAUCAACCUUGCUUUUGCUUGGUGUACUUUCUGGUUAAUGGGUCAGCAUCAAUUUUGACUAUUGGAAAAAGAUCAGGGGAAUGUGGCAUCUUCGGAUGUGUUAUAGCCUUUGGUUGCAUACAAUGGUUGGGAUUGAGGAACUCAGCACGCUCUCAAGGCCGGGUUU